rnacentral:rRNA from 1 species
UUUUGCACAAUGGGGGAAACCCUGAUGCAGCAACGCCGCGUGAGUGAAGAAGGCCCUUGGGUUGUAAAGCUCUUUCGACUGGGAAGAAGGAUUCCAUGGCUAAUAUCCAUGGGAUUUGACGGUACCAGAAGAAGAAGCACCUGCUAACUUCGUGCCAGCAGCAGCGGUAAUACGAAGGGUGCAAGCGUUGUUCGGAAUUAUUGGGCGUAAAGAGCACGUAGGCGGGUUUGUAAGUCGACUGUGAAAUCCCUAGGCUAACCUGGAACUGCAGUCGAUACUGCAAAUCUUAAUGCUUAAGAUGGUGAAUUCCAGGUGAGAGUAAAUUCGAGUUCUGAGAACACCGCGCAAGCGCCAUCUGGAAACCUAGCGUGAGUGAAUCG